rnacentral:lncRNA from 1 species
CCGUACGUCCUUUUAAUAACACUGGGAAGGGUAGUGGUAGAAGCUAAGUGUAAGAAUAUUUGCUGCACCCUGGGAAUCUACCUACCCGCGGAACUUCCGAGCUCAUCCUCGGGGUUUCCGACCUUAGUGAACAGUGCAUCGUUGUGUUACGGACACUUUCUUUAUUCCCGAAGGGGGUUUUUAAAAAUAAAAUUCGAUGAAUUUAGGCUCAUAGUUAAUAUUAUUUAUAUUUUUAAGACUAGUAAAGAUCAGGAAGAGCUGAAUUAACUGUAGAAGAAAGCCCUUUAUAUUCUAACAACAUUUUGAAGCUAGAAUCUUUUUGUCUCAUUGAAAUUAUUCUAUCAUUAAAUUAAACAUCAGUCGAAUAAGUAUCGAAAAUUGAGGUAAAAACUUUGCUGAACCAAAGGUUACUUUUUAAAUGUUACUGGGUUAAAUUUCGUUUUUGCCCAAGGCUACAUUACGACGAUUAAUAGCCAUGAACAACUCUUCCAAAUUUUGAGACAACGACUUCUCAAGUGUUAAACGAGUUUGGGAUUCAUUCAAACGCUCAGCAUUUCUUUUUUGCAAUAUACACAAAAAAUCUGCUAAUAAGUUAAGAUUCCAAUGAUCUGGAAUUUGCUCGCACACGUAGGAAAGCGUAUAAGAAAAGGGUCGACGAUACAAUAGUUCUUUAAUAAAAUCACUACAUCCAUCUCCUGUUGAUAUACAUUUUUCGAGCAAAUUGCACCAACACUGAGGAUAAACAUCAUCAAUUUGAAGACAGUAUGCUUCACCGCCCUUAUAGUCAUGAAUAUUCGUAACCAAAACGGAUAAAGCUUUUUCAUAAUUCUUCUUCCUUUUGUAAAACGAGUGUUCAAGUUGAGGAAAUAGAUAUAAAUUGUCAACAUGAAUGUCGAACAAAAUAUCUUUUAUUUUAUCUAUAGAUUCUUCUUCAACAUUUUCCAUCAGAUUAAUAGAACACAAAUAGUAAAAUGAAAGAUGAGUACUGAAAUCACUCAUGUCCCCCCAAAGUUGUUCCAAGUAUUGGGCAUACGUAGGUUUCUCCAUGCAAGGAAGCUCCCUAAAUGUUUCAAUGGCAGUCUCAAGGCGAUUUUUAAAAUCGUUAUGAUCCAAUAAACUGCCAAGCAACUUAUUAACGCACAACUUUAAAAGUAGCGCUCGAUGAGUGACGGAAUUCGACUUUACAAGGUAAUCAAUCAAAACAUCAUCUUGAGAAGAAUCCAAAUGCUCUAACACGUCCUCUGCAGAAAUGGAUCCACUAACUGUUUUGUCAAGCAAAACGCGCGUACCCUCCGUUGCAUCGUGUUUACAAAGCCAUGUAGUAAAUUCCCAGAAUGUCGAAGGCUCAAUAUCAUUAACCAAAUAUUCUCGUAUUUUAAUUAACCCAUCGUUGAAUCUCCGAUCUUCAUAAUCCCCUGUUAUUAAUUUCUUCCAAGUUUGAAGAACACCAUCGUGAUCCCUUACAGUAGCCAAUAACACGGAGAGUAAAUAAUACUCUUUCUUCUGUAUCAACACAUCUUUUAUAUCUUCAACACCAGUUAGACCAGACUCUAACAACUCCUUAGCAUUUUUGGUACCGGCGGCUAAAUCAUCCAUAUUUAAAUAAAGGAGUAAUAACGAAUGCUCU